UCCGCCUCAUCCGCUACUCUCUACAUUCACCUCCAUUUUCUUUGACCAAUUCCCCACCUCGCCGCCGGCAGCUGCCGGAAACCUCCUCCGAUGAGGCCCUUACCGUUCCGCCUCCUCCUCCUCUUCCACCUCCUCUCUCCCACUCUCGCCCUCGAAUUCCUCUUCAACUCCUCCAACAUCACCAACGCCACCGACUUCACUCUCAUCAACGACGCCAAGCUCGAUGGCGCCGCCGUCCGCCUCACAAACGACUCCGUCCAGUACUCCCUCGGCCGCUUCUUCCACACCACCAAGAUCACCAUGAGACCUAACUCCACCUCCGCUUCCCUCACCUCAUUCUCCACCUCCUUCGUCUUCUCCGAUCUCCCCAAGAUCGCCUCCAGCCCAGGCUUCGGCCUCUGCUUCUUCCUCUCCAACUCCACCUCUCCCCCCAACGCCCUCGCCAGCCAGUACUUCGGCCUCUUCUCCAACGCCACCGUCCCCGUCGUCGCGCCGCUACUCGCCGUCGAGUUCGACACCGGCCGGAACCCCGAGUUCAACGACCCCGACGGGAACCACAUCGGAAUCGACCUCAACAACAUCGAAUCCGCCAAAACCAGCCCCGCCGGCUACUUCAACUCCAGCGGCGGCUUCGUUCCGGUUCAGAUGCGGAGCGGCGAGAACAUCCGGACCUGGAUCGAUUUCGACGGCGAGAAUCUCGAAAUCAACGUCACUGUGGCUCCGGCGAGUCUGCCGCGGCCUUCUCGGCCUACUUUGAGCUUUAAAGAUCCGACAAUUGCGAACUACGUGUCGUCGGAGAUGUUCGUCGGGUUUUCGGCUUCGAAAACGACGUGGAUUGAGGCGCAGAGAAUUCUGGCUUGGAGUUUUAGUGAUACUGGAGUUGCUAAAGAGAUCAAUGUGACCAGCUUGCCUGUUUAUGAGGUCGGGACUAGUUCGAAAUCCUUGUCUAAAGGAGCCAUUGCCGGGAUCACAAUAGCUUGCAUUGUGUUUGUAGUGGUCUUAGCUUCGGGAGUUUACUUGUAUUGGAGGAAAAUGAAGAUGGAGGAUGAAGAAGAUGAUGAGAUUGAGGAUUGGGAGAUGGAGUAUUGGCCCCAUCGAUUUUCGAACGAAGAGCUGAGUGUGGCUACUGGUGGUUUCUCCAAGGAUCAGCUUUUGGGGUCUGGUGGAUUUGGGAAGGUUUAUUGGGGGGUUUUGUCGAACAAGACGGAGAUUGCAGUGAAAUGUGUGAACCAUGAUUCGAAGCAGGGGUUGCGAGAAUUCAUGGCCGAGAUUUCGAGCAUGGGGAGGCUGCAGCAUAAGAAUUUGGUCCAAAUGCGAGGGUGGUGCAGGAAAGGAAAUGAGCUCAUGCUUGUGUAUGACUACAUGCCUAAUGGGAGCCUGAACAAGUGGAUUUUUGAUAAGCCGAAGCAGGUUCUGGGGUGGGGGCAAAGGCGGCGUGUACUGGCGGAUGUGGCGGAGGGGAUGAACUAUCUGCAUUAUGGCUGGGAAAAAAUGGUGGUUCAUAGAGACAUUAAGUCGAGCAAUAUAUUGCUUGACUUGGAAAUGAGAGGCAGGCUUGGUGAUUUUGGUCUGGCCAAGCUGUAUGAGCACGGUGAAGUGCCGAAUACAACGCGUGUGGUUGGCACGCUGGGGUACAUGGCGCCGGAGCUGGCUACCUUAGCAGCGCCAACGGCAGCGAGUGAUGUGUACAGCUUUGGAGUGGUGUUGUUGGAAGUGGCGUGUGGCAGAAAGCCUAUUGAAAUGGAGGCAGAGGAGGAGGAGGAGGAAGUGCUGGUUGAUUGGGUGAGGGAGUUGUAUUUCAAAGGGAGGGUGAGAGAGGCAGCAGACCAGAGAAUUAAAGGGGAGUAUGAUGAGGAGGAGAUGGAGAUUGCAUUGAAGCUUGGGUUGUCUUGUUGCCAUCCUGAUCCCCAUAGAAGGCCUAACAUGAAGGAAAUUGUCACAAUUUUGGUUGGCGAGACAGGGUCCGGACCAGCACCUGCCUCAUUGUUAUCAGAACUGGCGCGUGGCGAGAGUGGCAAUGUUGCCGGCAGUGGGGAAGAAUCUGGGGAAGUAGCAUUCCGACCUCAGCAUUCAGCGUGAACUAAUCUGGAAGCGGAUCAUACUAUGUAGAUAUACAACACAUUCCUGUACACGAUUGAAGUGGCAAAGAGGGACUUACUGUGUACUCUGUUGAGUUUCUUCACUCAUCAUUUAAUUAGCCACUGCAACACAACGAGUUCCCUAGAAUGAUCAGUAAGUGGAAAAUACUAAUGGAAAUGCAUUAUUGUGAUACUCCCCCAUCCACCCCAUUCAGCUUGACUCAAAGGGAAACAAGUGUAGCUGGAGGAAACGAUUUUGCCACACUAAUCCGAUUUAGGCUGUUCAGGGUAACCAGAAACUGCAGCUGCAUUGAGGCUCCAGAGCCCAUUGUCGACGAUGAAGCAAACUUUGUAAUGGAAAUCCAAGUUUCUGUGCUUACCUCGAGUUUCAAGCAAUUGAAGUAUCGACAUCAUUAUAGACAAGUCAUGUCUCAGGUACUCUCUGGCAUGGGUGUCACAGGACCUGAGCAUGAAGCCAUUGUUAACAAAAUAUUUGAGGUGGUGAAAGUGGCGGAGGCUGGGUUGCCUAUCAUUGUCGGCUUGGGGGAUGUGACUGUCCGAUUCGGGGACAGUACCUGCAACACAAGUAAUCUAAGCCCAACAGUCCAAAGAUGUAUUGAGGAUCUUCAAGAUAUCAUCGAUUGGCUUACAUUAAGGGAUCCUAUGGACGAAAAUGUACGACUCGAUCAUUCCGGCAACCAAGGCUUCCAUUGAUGGUCUGGAGAAAGUGAGGCUUGAUAGUUUGGAAGAAGAAGCUAGCUAGUGUUGGACAGACGCCUCUUUGCUCUAUAUGUCUGGAGGGCUUCGAUCAAGGGAAUGGUGAUGAUAUUAUUGGCUUGCCUUGCACACAUCUUUAUCAUGGAGAUUGCAUUUCCCGCUGGCUCAAGAGGAAUCGCUUGUGUCCUGUGUGCCGAUACCCGAUUGAGGAAGGAACAAGCCAUCAAUAGGGUUGUUGCAUUGGCCUAGUAUGCUCAUAGUCUUGUCUGCGGUGACUGUUAGGGUUCUCUCUGGACUGUUGAGAUGUAAGUUGAAAUUCAAACAAGAUCAUCAUUCCGAAGCUAGAAGAGUUAAAGAUUCAUCAGGUAUAAAUGUUAGUUUGUUGCGUGAGAUCAUUGAC